AUGGCCUACAUGACAACUCUUCACACACUUCUCGCUGUGGUAUCUGUUCACCACUGGUUUGUAUCUCGGCUUGAUGUCAGGAAUGCUCUUAAUGGCGAGCUGCAUAAGUUCCCAAGAGAGUACAUUCAGGAUCUUCUUGCUCGUGUUGCUCUUACUGAUGAGGUCACUAUUGACACUCCUAUGGAACUCGACAUCCAUCUUUGUGCUUCUAACGUAAAAGAGAGCAGGAGCGGGAGAAUGGGAUUUUAUCGGAAUGAACAAGGGGGUUUUGCUUGCCUGGCACUUCUGAAGAUAACAUUGAGUCUUCAUCAGUGUCAACGAUCACAUCAUCGGUACAGCGUCUACCGAGGGGGAACAACACCGGCAAACACAGAAGAAACACGAUCAAUGCAAUGCACAAUAUGA
rnacentral:rRNA from 1 species